UGGGAAGUUCUUGGUGGCACGUAGUAGUCACAGACAAUAAAAAAGAACACUGGCUGAGAGAGCAAGUAUUAUUGAUGAGAGGAAAAUGGAAAUUCUGAGGAGAGAAAUUACUUCCACCUGAAAUGCUCAGACAGAGGAAACGCUCCACGUGAGGAAUGGCAUCCAUGAGGCAGGGUGAAGAGAUGGUGCACCCCAGGAGGUGUGCAGGGACAGCGUUCCAGGAGCAGGACAGUAGGUGCAGAGACGAUGUGCAGGUUCUGUGCAGAGCCCUCAGAGCAGUUCAGCCCCUGGAAGCAGAA